rnacentral:tRNA from 1 species
GCCCUCGUAGCUCAACGGUUAGAGCAGCGGACUCAUAAUCCGUUGGUUCCCCGUUCGAAUCGGGGCGAGGGCA